UUUUGAGAGUUUGAUCCUGGCUCAGGAUGAACGCUGGCGGCGUGCCUUAGGCAUGCAAGUUGAACGGGUCGCCGUAAGGCGACCAGUAGCAGACGGGUGAGUAACGCGUGAGAACUUACCCCAGGGAGGAGUAUAGCUCGUCGAAAGACGGGGUAAUACUGCGUACGAUACGUUCAGUUAUAUGAACGUAUGAAAGGGUGUAACUACCCGCCCCGGGAGAGGCUCGCGUCCUAUCAGCUAGUUGGUGGGGUAAUGGCCUACCAAGGCGAUGACGGGUAGCUGGACUGAGAGGUCGAUCAGCCACAACUGCACUGAGACACGGGCAGUACACCUACGGG
rnacentral:rRNA from 1 species